rnacentral:lncRNA from 1 species
AUCUGCUUUAAGAUAUUAAAAUUAAAUAAUACAUUUUUGCAUUAACAAAAUACUAAUUAUUUUUCAUAUUUAAGUUUGUUAAUAUAAGUGAGGAAAAGAUUUUAUGUUUCCAAAUUUAUUAUGUAACCAAUUAGACAAAAAGAAAUGAAACUAACAACAUUAAUCUAAUUAUUGUAUGCAUAAAUAAAUAAAAAAAAUGAAAAAUACAUUUAGUCCC